rnacentral:rRNA from 1 species
GACGAACGCUGGCGGCGUGCCUAAUACAUGCAAGUAGAACGCUGAAGGAGGAGCUUGCUUCUCUGGAUGAGUUGCGAACGGGUGAGUAACGCGUAGGUAACCUGCCUGGUAGCGGGGGAUAACUAUUGGAAACGAUAGCUAAUACCGCAUAAGAGUAGAUGUUGCAUGACAUUUGCUUAAAAGGUGCACUUGCAUCACUACCAGAUGGACCUGCGUUGUAUUAGCUAGUUGGUGAGGUAACGGCUCACCAAGGCGACGAUACAUAGCCGACUUGAGAGGGUGAUCGGCCACACUGGGACUGAGACACGGCCCAGACUCCUACGGGAGGCAGCAGUAGGGAAUCUUCGUGCAAUGGACGGAACUUCUGACCGAGCAACGCCGCGUGAGUGAAGAAGGUUUUCGGAUCGUAAAGC